rnacentral:rRNA from 1 species
GAUGAACGCUAGCUACAGGCUUAACACAUGCAAGUCGAGGGGAAACGACAGAGGAAGCUUGCUUCCUUUGGGCGUCGACCGGCGCACGGGUGAGUAACGCGUAUCCAACCUUCCCGCAAGUAAGGGAUAACCCGUAGAAAUGUGGUCUAAUACCCCAUAUGCCGGUCUUCUGCAUGGAGGACCGGUGAAAGGAGAGAUCCGGGCGCGGAUGGGCAUGCGUCUGAUUAGCUGGUUGGCGGGGCAACGGCCCACCAAGGCAACGAUCAGUAGGGGUUCUGAGAGGAAGGUCCCCCACAUUGGAACUGAGACACGGUCCAAACUCCUACGGGAGGCAGCAGUGAGGAAUAUUGGUCAGUGGACGGAAGUCUGAACCAGCCAAGUAGCGUGCAGGACGACGGCCCUAUGGGUUGUAAACUGCUUUUAUGUGGGAAUAAAGUGAGGGACGUGUCCCUUUUUGUAGGUACCACAUGAAUAAGGACCGGCUAAUUCCGUG